rnacentral:rRNA from 1 species
AGUGAACGCUGGCGGUAGGCCUAACACAUGCAAGUCGAACGGCAGCACAGUAAGAGCUUGCUCUUACGGGUGGCGAGUGGCGGACGGGUGAGGAAUACAUCGGAAUCUACUUUUUCGUGGGGGAUAACGUAGGGAAACUUACGCUAAUACCGCAUACGACCUACGGGUGAAAGCAGGGGAUCUUCGGACCUUGCGCGAUUGAAUGAGCCGAUGUCGGAUUAGCUAGUUGGCGGGGUAAAGGCCCACCAAGGCGACGAUCCGUAGCUGGUCUGAGAGGAUGAUCAGCCACACUGGAACUGGGACACGGUCCAGACUCCUACGGGAGGCAGCAGUGGGGAAUAUUGGACAAUGGGGGCGAGCCUGGUCCAGCCAUACCGCGUGUGUGAAGAAGGCCUUCGGGUUGUAAAGCCCUUUUGUUGGGAAAGAACAGCAGCAGGUUAAUACCCCGCUGUUCUGACGGUACCCAAAGAAUAAGCACCGGCUAACUUCGUG